rnacentral:tRNA from 1 species
GCGGGGGUUACCGAGUCAGGCCAAAGGUGGUAGACUCAAGAUCUACUCCCAUAGGGGUUCGCCGGUUCGAAUCCGGCCCCCCGCA